UUUCUUUUUUAUUUAUUAGAAUUAUAAAUAUUUGCUUUUUACAAAUAUCAUUUCUUUGAUCUCUCAUUUAGUUUUCUGUACUCUGUAUUCUUCUUUUUUAUUAUUAUGUAUCUUCCAUAUUUCAUUAAAUAUAUUAAAACAUAUGAAAAUCAUAAAGUUCAUAAUUUUCCGGUUUGUAUAUCUCUCUCUUUUUUCGUAAGUGUCAAGUAGUUAGCUUCAUCCAAAUGUACUUCCAUCGUCACUGAUGUUAGUUAAAACUUUCCGUCAAUGUGUUUUUCAUCGUCCAAAAACUAACGAAAGUUGCACAAAAACAUAAAUGACAAUCAAAUAAGUUCAACUCGACCUUGUUCUGUUUUCUGUUUUUUUCUUGUUUUCCUAUAAAUAUAUGACGUGAAUAAAUAAAUACAACAGAAGUAGUUUAAUGCUGCCUAAAGUUGGUUUUGGUUUUUGUUUUCGCGAUUAAUUGUAGUGAAACGCAAACGAUUGUUUCCAUUAUCAUUCUCUCUGAUCUGUAUCGCGUCCCAAGAAGAGUUGUAUGUCUACAUUUUGCCUAUCAUUUUCGUGAAUGAUGUCUACGAUAAUUUCUAUUGUAUGCUUUCAUUUAUUAUGUCUGUUUAUUUCCAUUUGUGUGUGUGUAUUACAAAAUUUGAUUUUCUUGGAUGGGAACUGAAAUGAAAUCUUUUGAAAACGAACAUAACGGUACCUUGCAUGGUUAUCUUGAACAUAUUGCAUGAGAUCUAUUCCGACAAAAUGAAAUCAAAAUGUUUCAUAAAGGUUAAUUUUGGUACGAUGCUCGGUUUGUCUGGUUUGUCUUCAAUGCAAGUUACACAUAAGUAUUUUUGUUUUCGUAAUAAGUUUAUGUCUCCUUGCUCUCGUAUUGAUUUAUUAGUUGUUUUGAAUAUAUUUUUUAUUCUCAAUUUUAUGUAUUUUCUUUAAAUGUUUCCAUUAGUCUUUAAUAACUUGUAAGACUUUCUGUUACGCUAAAACAUAGAUGUGUGUGUGUGUGUGUGUGUUUGUGUGUUGGUAAUGUAUUUUGUUCAUUUGUUAAACAUUGUGUCACUAUUGUUCUCGUUUGUGUUCGACAAUGAUUAUGUAAAAGGUCAUGUUUGACAAUCGCAGAGCCCAUUGCGACUGUCACGCCGACCUUUUAUUAUUAGCGAUUGUGUACCCCUUCGAACAUAAACACAGGUCUUCUGGGACCUGACCGAUAGUAUAUAUAUAUAUUUAAAUUAAUUACAACGUUACUUAUUUCUCCACUGAUUUUAGAAACGAUGGCUUUGCUUGCUCAGGUUUCCCUUGGUAGAUUGAAAUGACUCUAAACCGAGUGCACGUAGUAGCAGUAUUGUGGAACGUCUGAUCGAGGAAGGCAUCCAUAUGGCACAGAAUGGUUACGGGUGCAACGAAAGUGCACCUUCCAAUGACAAUUUCAUUCGAAGUAAAUUUAAAGAAUGCUCGGAAUGCCUUAUCGCAUCAAAGGUUCCUUCUGAUACAGAAGUACAAUUCGCUAUUGAAGGUGCAAUCGAUAUAGU